rnacentral:miRNA from 1 species
CGGAUGGGUGCUGCGCGGUGGU